UGAUGAUGAUGACGACGACGAUGAUGAUGAUGAUGACGGUGAUGAUGAUGAUGAUGAGAUCUUCGUCAUCAUCAUCAUCGUCGUCGUCACCAUAA
rnacentral:pre_miRNA from 1 species